rnacentral:rRNA from 1 species
UACGUAGGGGGCAAGCGUUGUUCGGAAUUACUGGGCGUAAAGGGCUCGUAGGCGGCCAACUAAGUCAGACGUGAAAUCCCUCGGCUUAACCGGGGAACUGCGUCUGAUACUGGAUGGCUUGAAUCCGGGAGAGGGAUGCGGAAUUCCAGGUGGUAGCGGUGAAAUGCGUAGAUAUCUGGAGGAACACCGGUGGCGAAGGCGGCAUCCUGGACCGGCAUUGACGCUGAGGAGCGAAAGCCAGGGGAGCAAACGGGGAUU